GAUCAUUAUUGAAUAAACCUGAUGAGUUGCUGCUGGCUCUCUAGGGAGCAUGUGCACACUUGUCAUCUUUAUAUCUCCACCUGUGCACCUUUUGUAGACCUGGAUAUCUCUCUGAGUGCUUAGCACUUCAGGUUUGAGGAUUGACUUUAUUGUCCUAUCUUUAUAUUUCCAGGCCUAUGUUUCUUCAUAUACCCCAUUGUAUGUUAUAGAAUGUAGUAAAUAGGCCUUUGUGCCUAUAAACCUAUACAACUUUCAGCAACGGAUCUCUUGGCUCUCGCAUCGAUGAAGAACGCAGCGAAAUGCGAUAAGUAAUGUGAAUUGCAGAAUUCAGUGAAUCAUCGAAUCUUUGAACGCACCUUGCGCUCCUUGGUAUUCCGAGGAGCAUGCCUGUUUGAGUGUCAUUAAUAUAUCAACCUCUUCAACUUUUGUUGAGUGUUGGAUGUGGGGGUUCUAUUUUGCUGGCCUCUCUGAGUUCAGCUCCCCUGAAAUACAUUAGCGGAACAAUUUUGUGGAUUCGUUCAUUGGCGUGAUAAUUAUCUAUGCUAUUGACGUGAAGCAGUUCAGCUUAUAACAGUCCAUUGACUUGGACAAAUUUUUUAUUAAUGUGACCUCAAAUCAGGUAGG
rnacentral:rRNA from 1 species